UCCCAAGGGUCAAAUUCUUCUUCUCCAUCCCACGCUUAGCUUCUUUUUCUUCUUCUCCAUCCCAACUUCUUCUUCUUCACACUUAGCAGAUUCUUAGAUUUUUCUUCUUCUUUUGAGACCCAAACCGUAGCAAAUUCUUAGAUUCUUCUUCUUCUUCGUUUGAGACCCAAGCCAUCGACGCUCACCAUCUAUGCUGUCAACUCCUUCGCCGCCGCCGACACCAUUUUCUUCAGAUCUACUGCCUGUGGACGCCAACGCCAAUCACCGCCUAUGCCGUCAACUCCUCCGCCGCCGCCGACGCCAUUCUCUUUAGAUCUACUGCCUAUGGACGCCAACACCAGUCACCGCCUAUGCCGUCAACUCCUCCGCCGCCGCCGACGCCAUUCUCUUCAGAUCUACUACCUGUGGACGCUAACGCCGCUCACCGCCUAUGCUGUCAACUCCUCCGCUGCCGCCGCCGCCAUUCUCUUCAGAUCUGUUGCGAACUGCCGGACGUCGACACUACUCACAGCCAUUGCCGUCGUCUCCAUCGCCGACGCCGCUCCUCCACCAUUGCCGUCGUCUGAUAAGUUCCUUUUUUUUUGUUUAAAUUUUGUAUUUCAUUUAUUUAUUUUUAUUUAUUUAUUUCGAAUAUUAGUGUAUUUAUUUGGAAUAUUAUUAGUGUAUUUGAUUUAUUUCCUUUUAUUUGUAAUUUAUUUUGAAUACUAUGUGUCUAUGGCUAUUGUUCUAUAUUUGGAUUUUGUUGAAUAUUAGUGUUUGAUUUUUUUUUUAAAUUGAAUUUUAUUCUAAUUUUGAAUAUUUAUUGUGAAUUUUCAAAAUUUUAAAAUUUUAUUAUUAUUGUGAAUACUAUGGCUAUCGACGCAGUGUGUUUGUAUAUAGAUAUAUUGAGAUAUGUAUGUUGUGAAUAAUAUGGUUAUUGUGAAUAAUAUGGCUACUGAACUCAGUUUUGGUUUAUUUCCUGUGUGUUAACCUGCCUUUGUAAUUUGUGACAACCACAUAUAUCCUAGGAGUUGUUUGUGUAUAUCCUCAGAGAAUUUUAAAUUUGCACACAACAAGAAUUUGGGAUUUUCUGCAAGUAAAAUCUCAUUUGAAGAAUGGAAUACUAAGAAGGGCUCAUUUUGGAGUUGCUUCUAUAAUUGGUGUCAUAGAUUCUGGUUAGUAUGUAAUGGUGCCCAUGGUUGUUAACAUUUACAUUGCAGUUUGGCUUAUUAUUAUUAUUCAAUUUUUGCUUAGUGCAGAGAUAUGGCCUGAAUAUGAAAGCUUUAAUGAUGAUGGAUUUCAUAGUGUUCCAUCCUAUUGGAAGAGAAUGUGCCAAGAAGGAGAAGAAUUUAAUAGUUCCAACUGUAGCAGAUUUGCAGCUUCCAGAUGAUAUAGAGUGGAGUUUCAUUGGGAAUUUAUAGAGAAA